CCUAACUAUAAAUGGGUGUGGAAAGCCCCCAUCCCGCUGAAAAUCAAAAAAAAAAUGUGGCAGCUUUUUCAGAAUGUUGUGCUUACAAGAGAUAAUCUACGCAUUAGGAAGUGGCCUGGGAACCCUACAUGCUCUUUUUGUACAAGUGUGGAAACAACGAACCACUUGUUCUUUACUUGCCCGCUUGCCCGUACGGUUUGGGGCGUGAUGGGGAUGACAGUUGGAUCCUCUUGCUGUCCUCGAUCGCUUUGGCAAAGUUGGGCUUGGCUAUAUAAGUUCUUUUCAGGAGGAAAGCAGUUCUAUAUGAUGAUUAUUGCUGCCAUAUGCUGGGGGAUUUGGAACCUGCACAAUAAAGUUACUUUUGAUAAACAUGUUGCUCGCACUCCUCUGGAGGCUGUUUUCACUGCAUGUUCGUUUAUGUUAUAUUGGGCAGGUUUGCUUAAAGGAGAAGACAAGGUGAAGCUCCAGGCUAUUGGCUCAUGCGGCUGCUACCCUGGCGGACAGAUCCUUCCCUCGUGGCAGACUCCCAUUAGGAGACAAUGA
rnacentral:rRNA from 1 species